AAUAUUGGACAAUGGGGGCAACCCUGAUCCAGCCAUGCCGUGUGUGUGAAGAAGGUCUUCGGAUUGUAAAGCACUUUAAGUUGGGAGGAAGGGCUUUAGGUUAAUACCCUGAAGUUUUGUCGUUACCAACAGAAUAAGCACCGGCUACCUCAGUGCCAGCUGCCGCGGUAAUACAGAGGGUGCAACCGUUAGUCGGAAUUACUGGGCGUAAAGCGCGCGUAGGUGGUUCAGUAAGAUGGGUGUGAAAGCCCCGGGCUUAACCUGGGAACUGCUUUCAUAACUGCUGAGCUAGAGUACGGUAGAGGGUAGUGGAAUUUCCUGUGUAGCGGUGAAAUGCGUAGAUAUAGGAAGGAACACCAGUGGCGAAGGCGACUACCUGGACAGAUACUGACACUGAGGUGCGAAAGCGUGGGGAGCAAAC
rnacentral:rRNA from 1 species